rnacentral:tRNA from 1 species
GCGGUCGUGGUGAAGUUGGUCAACACACUGGAUUGUGGCUCCAGCAUUCGCGGGUUCAAGUCCCGUCGAUCGCCCCA